AUGUCUCUCGUCGUGUUCCUUCUCGGGCUUGUUUUUUCAUCGCAUCUGUCCGCGUGUGGAGCUGCCACAGACACCAUCGCAUCCGGCGAAGCACUUAUCGUGAACAACACCAUCAUCUCCAGCAACGGCAAAUUUGCGCUUGGCUUCUUCCAAACAGGCAGUAAGUCCUCCCAAAACUCCCUCAACUGGUAUCUAGGCAUAUGGUUCAACAAGGUCCCCAAGCUAACUCCAGUAUGGGUCGCCAAUGGUCAUAUCCCAAUCAUAGACCCCGUCUCAUCGGUACUAACAGUCACCAGUGGAGGCAACCUUGUCAUCUUGAACCAAGCCACCAAAUCCACCAUUUGGUCUGCCCAAACAAAUGCCUCAACCAACAAUAGCAUCGCACUGCUGUUGAACAGUGGCAACUUCGUCUUGCGGAGUUCCUCAAACUCAUCCAGUGUGUUGUGGCAGAGCUUCGACUACCCCACUGACACUUUCCUCCCUGGCAUGAAACUGGGUUGGGACAAGGUCACUGGUCUGAACCGCCGUCUAGUUUCAAGGAGGAAUUCGAUUGACCUAGCUCCAGGAAAAUACACCAGCCAAUUAGACCCGAACGGUAUAGAUCAGGUCAUACAUACACCGCUCGACUCGUCCAUACCGUAUUGGUCGAGUGGGGUAUGGAAUGGACAAUACUUCCCCUCAAUAAUGUCUAUGAGGGCGUACAACACAAAUUAUACAUUUGUCAACAAUGACCAAGAGAAGUACUUCACAUAUGACUUACCAGACGAGACAUUUGUGUACAAUCUUGUGAUGGAUGUUUCGGGUCGUACAAAGUCUCUCAUUUGGGUAGAAGGCUCAGUGGGUUGGAGAAUGGUCUACGCUCAGCCUGCACUUCAAUGUGACGUGUUUGCUGUUUGCGGACCUUUCACCACAUGUAAUGAUCAUACACUUCCAUUCUGUAACUGUAUGAAGGGCUUCUCCAUUAGAUCGCCCAAUAACUGGGAGCUAGAAGAUCGAACAGGAGGUUGUGAAAGAAAUAGUCCAUUAUAUUGUGGGAUUAGCAACAACAGAAGUACGCAGGACAUGUUCCACCCAAUUACAUGUGUUGGACUGCCCAAUAAUGGUAACAACAUAGAAGAGGCUAGGAGUGUAGGCAGAUGUGCACAAGUUUGCCUAGGCAACUGCACUUGCACUGCAUAUUCCUAUGAUAACAGCAGAUGUUUUGUUUGGAAUGGCGAAUUAAUUAAUGUGAUACAAAAGCAAUGCAACGACUCCAUUAAUAGUAACAGAGCCACUCUUUACCUUCGCCUUGCCAACAGUGAGGUGCAAACAAACUUGGAAAACAACAACAGAAGAUCAUUAAUCAUUGGGGUGGCCAUGGGUGCAAGUUUUGCUUUCUUCACUUUAUUGUCGCUCUUCUUUCUGUUAGUGAUUAGGAGAAGGAGGAUGUCUGCUCAUAGGAUGGAAAAAUAUAAAGAUAAUGUUGGCAUUACUUCAUUCAAAUACCUUGAUUUGCAACAUGCAACAAAAAACUUCUCGGAGAAGCUAGGGGCAGGUGGUUUUGGUUCUGUAUUCAAGGGGUUUCUAAAUGAUUCUUGUGCCAUAGCAGUUAAAAGACUUGAUGGUGCUCGUCAGGGAGAAAAGCAAUUCAGAGCUGAAGUUAGAUCAAUUGGAAUUAUUCAGCAUAUCAAUUUAGUUAAACUAAUUGGCUUUUGUACAGAGGGGGAUAGUAGGUUGCUUGUCUAUGAACUCAUGCCAAAUCGUUCUCUUGAUUCACAUUUAUUUCAAAGUAAUGAUACAGAAACGGUAUUGGAAUGGAGCAUAAGGUAUCAGAUAGCUGUUGGAGUUGCUAGAGGACUUGCCUACUUGCAUGAUAAUUGCCAGGAUUGCAUUAUACAUUGUGAUAUUAAGCCUGAGAACAUACUUCUCGAUGCUUCAUUUAUUCCAAAAAUAGCAGAUUUUGGGAUGGCAAAGCUUCUUGGAAGGGAUUUCAGUCGAGUGCUGACAACAAUGAGAGGAACUAUAGGGUAUCUUGCGCCUGAAUGGAUUAGCGGAACUGUUAUUACAGCAAAAGUUGAUGUUUAUAGCUAUGGCAUGAUUUUGUUGGAACUCAUAUCGGGAAGCAGGAACUCGGGUGGAAUCAGUGCUUCUAAUAUUGAUGACGUUUAUUUCCCUGUGCUAGUUGCAACUAAGCUACAUAAGGGCGACAUGGGGAGUUUGGUGGAUCAGAAUUUACGGGGUGAGUUCAAUUUGGAACAGGUGGAAAGAGCUUUCAAGGUUGCGUGUUGGUGCAUUCAAGAUCAUGAGUUUGAUCGGCCUAAGAUGGCUGAAGUUGUUCAAUAUCUGGAAGGUUUUCUUGAAGUUGACAUACCCCCGGUGCCAAGAUUUCUUCAAGCUAUUGCAGGGAAUCCACAAUCAGAAUGCAAACCGUACCUGGACCAAACUUCACAAGAGGCGGUGAGGCUGUAA
rnacentral:rRNA from 1 species